AAUAGCUCACUGGUCUAGUGAUUUUGCGCGGAAAAUAUAACGGGGCUAAAGUAAGUACCGAAGCUGUAGACUUAGUUUACUAAGUGGUAGGAGAGCGUUCUAUUUGCGUCGAAGGUAUACCGGUAAGGAGUGCUGGAGCGAAUAGAAGUGAGCAUGCAGGCAUGAGUAGCGAUAAUUAAUGUGAGAAUCAUUAACGCCGUAAACCCAAGGUUUCCUACGCGAUGCUCGUCAUCGUAGGGUUAGUCGGGUCCUAAGUCGAGUCCGAAAGGGGUAGACGAUGGCAAAUUGGUUAAUAUUCCAAUACCAACAUUAGUGUGCGAUGGAAGGAAGCUUAGGGCUAAGGGGGCUAGCGGAUGGAAGUGCUAGUCUAAGGUCGUAGGAGGUUAUACAGGCAAAUCCGUAUAACAAUACUCCGAGAACUGAAAGGCUUUUUGAAGUCUUCGGAUGGAUAGAAGAACCCCUGAUGCCGUCGAGCCAAGAAAAGUUUCUAAGUUUAGCUAAUGUUGCCCGUACCGUAAACCGACACAGGUGGGUGGGAUGAGUAUUCUAAGGCGCGUGGAAGAACUCUCUUUAAGGAACUCUGCAAAAUAGCACCGUAUCUUCGGUAUAAGGUGUGGUUAGCUUUGUAUUAGGAUUUACUCCGAAAGCAAGGAAACUUACAACAAAGAGUCCCUC
rnacentral:rRNA from 1 species